rnacentral:rRNA from 1 species
UACAGAGGGUGCGAGCGUUAAUCGGAAUUACUGGGCGUAAAGCGCACGUAGGCGGCUUGGUAUGUCGGGUGUGAAAUCCCCGGGCUCAACCUGGGAACUGCAUCCGAAACUGCCUUGCUCGAGUAUGGGAGAGGGAAGUGGAAUUUCCGGUGUAGCGGUGAAAUGCGUAGAUAUCGGAAGGAACAUCAGUGGCGAAGGCGACUUCCUGGACCGAGAUUGACGCUGAGGCGCGAAAGCCAGGGGAGCAAACGGG